GAAAGAAUAUCGGAGACGGAUGGGCAUGCGGCGCAUUAGCUAGUUGGCGGGGUAACGGCCCACCAAGGCGACGAUGCGUAGGGGUUCUGAGAGGAAGGUCCCCCACACUGGUACUGAGACACGGACCAGACUCCUACGGGAGGCAGCAGUGAGGAAUAUUGGUCAAUGGGCGAGAGCCUGAACCAGCCAAGUCGCGUGAGGGAGUACUGCCCUAUGGGUUGUAAACCUCUUUUGUCGGGGAGCAAAAGCCGGACGUGUCCGGCUGUGAGAGUACCCGAAGAAAAAGCAUCGGCUAACUCCGUGCCAGCAGCCGCGGUAAUACGGAGGAUGCGAGCGUUAUCCGGAUUUAUUGGGUUUAAAGGGUGCGCAGGCGGAUUUUUAAGUCAGCGGUCAAAUCGUGGGGCUCAACCCCAUCCAGCCGUUGAAACUGGGGAUCUAGAGUGUGCGAGAGGUAUGCGGAAUGCGUGGUGUAGCGGUGAAAUGCAUAGAUAUCACGCAGAACCCCGAUUGCGAAGGCAGCAUACCGGUGCACAACUGACGCUCAGGCACGAAAGCGUGGGUAUCGAACAGGAUUAGAUACCCUGGUAGUCCACGCAGUAAACGAUGAAUGCUACCUGUUUGGCCAGAUUGAAGGCUGA
rnacentral:rRNA from 1 species